GGGGCAGCUGAACAGAGACAGAGCCAAGUGAUCUCCCGCAGCACCUGCCCUCUCCUGAGCUAUGCCUCUGGCCUUCCCGCCUCCUCCUCCACACGGACCUCCGCGCCCCCUGAAGAAGGGGGGAAAAAGAAAUACGCAUUAAUACCUCGAGCCUUGGCGCACCAGCCCUCGCCCCCUCAACCACCUGUCUCUGCGUUCUCCCCCGCAGCCUUCCUCAACUCUGGGCGCCCCCUCUGCAGCAAAGGGGCACCACGCCCACUGCGGAGAGGAGAAAUGCAAGGGAUAUCUCCACUGGACGCCCAACCUCACAUUUCCGCCUGUAGAAAUUCCACCUGUCCUUUAAGGCCAACUCGAAAACCUCUUCCUCUCUGAUUUUCCCAAUCAGCAAUGUCAUUUAUGACCUCAGUUUUCUGAGAGUAUGUCUUUUAUGGCUGUUAACAUGUUAUAAACACACCUGUAUUUAUUUCUGUGGUUGGUUUUCUUAUCUCCUUCUAGAUAGCAAAACUGUUUUAAGAUCAGUUUCUCCCUCUGCAACUACUAAGGGCCUUACAUGGUAUGCCUUCGACAAACAGUUCUUAAGUAAUCAGAGAGAUUGGAUUGAGAGAAUAGGAGGCCCAGCAAAUGCCUUUGCUCUACCUGCACCUUUCCUCCCUUCCUGAUGCUCCACCACAUGGACCUCUAGGCGUCUGGAAAACAGAAUCCUCAAGUUGAUAGGCUUAUCUCAUUCAUUCCUGCUCCUCCAGGCAAGGCAGCCAUAAUUUAGGGGUUCCUGGAUGAAGUUGCAAGACAAGUUCAUGCAGGACACACAUACCAAAUAGCAGAUAUUCUACCACCAGUGUCUCCUAGGAUACAGUGAGAAGAUGGCCAACUGCAAACCAGGAAGCAGACCUUCUCCAGACACAGAUCUGCUGAUGCCUUGAUCUUAGACUACCUUGCCUCCAGAAUGGUGAGAAAUAAAUGUUGUUUAAGCCACUCAGUCUGUGGUAUUCUGUUGUAGCAGCUUGGACUAAGACAA
rnacentral:lncRNA from 10 species